GAAAUCCUCAUCAAGUGCCUAAUGAAUGAAGACACCGUUAUCUGGAUUGAUGCUCCCCUUACUUUCUUGUAUGGAUUCAGACGGGAAGAGCAGUCAUCUGGCAAUCAGAGGGUUGCCGGUUCACAGUUCCUCCCUGGUCCUCAAUAGUUUGUCCACACCUGCCUCCUGUUCAUAAGAGUAUGGACUCGAAGGAGCAUGAGAAGGCUGUGGUCUAGCUGUUCUGGGCCUCGCCUUAUCCUCCACAAAGUAAACCAGCAGCGACUAGACCAGACAGAAAUCCUUAUGAAGUGUAAUGGAAUGAAGACACCAUUGUCUGGAUUGACAGUGAAAGGUCUAACCCUAACCGAACUACAUUACGAAGACAAAACUGCUUAUUGAUGCACCUGGCACACAUCCCAUGAAUCCACCUGCAUCAACAAAGCGCAAGUACUUUCAGUGUCUUGGACUCGCCCUGCACGCUAUGGUUAAUUUUAGGUAGGGUGAGCUGUAGACCGGCCUUGCCUCCCUUGUGGUCCUCCAGGCUCACCUUCAUCCCUGUGGAGAAAGGGGGUUGACAGGACACCCUUGGCAGUGCUCAAGCAUGAAGUUGAUCUAUGAAAUCCCACAGCCCUCAGCCCUCAGCCCUCAGCCAAAAGUAAAAGCUGUCUUGGGAUGUGCUGGCUCCUUGAGGUUGACCUGCCUGUAGUGACUGGAGGAUGAGUGAGUGACA